AAUGAACGCUGGCGGCGUGCCUAACACAUGCAAGUCGAGCGAGAAAGUCCCCUUCGGGGGGCGAGUAAAGCGGCGCACGGGUGAGUAACGCGUGGGUAACCUGCCCUUGAGUGGGGGAUAACCAGCCGAAAGGCUGACUAAUCCCGCAUACGACCGGCAGACACAAGUCUGUCGGGGGAAAGAUGGCCUCUGCUUGCAAGCUAUCGCUCUUGGAUGGGCCCGCGUUGGAUUAGCUAGUUGGUGGGGUAACGGCCUACCAAGGCUGCGAUCCAUAGCUGGUUUGAGAGGACGACCAGCCACACUGGAACUGAGACACGGUCCAGACUCCUACGGGAGGCAGCAAGUGAGGAAUAUUGCGCAAUGGGGGAAACCCUGACGCAGCGACGCCGUGUGAGCGAUGAAGGCCUUCGGUCGGUAAAGCUCUGUCAGAGGGAAAGAAAGGGUACGGGCGGAAUAAUACCCGCCGACAUUGACGGUACCUCGGAGGAAGCACCGGCUAACUCCGU
rnacentral:rRNA from 1 species